rnacentral:misc_RNA from 1 species
GAUGAAGAACGUAGCGAAAUGCGAUACGUAAUGUGAAUUGUAGAAUUCAGUGAAUCAUCGAAUCUUUGAACGCAUAUUGCGCUCUCUGGUAUUCCGGAGAGCAUGCUUGUUUGAGUAUCAGUAAACACCUCAACUUCCAUAUCUUUUUUGAAAUGGGAGUUGGACUUGAGUGAUCCCAACGCUUUUCCUCACCGAAAAGUGGCGGGUUACUUGAAAUGCAGGUGCAGCUGGACUUUUCUCUGAGCUAUAAGCAUAUCUAUUUAGUCUGCCUAAAAAACAGAUUAUUACCUUUGCUGCAGCUAACAUAAAGGAGAUUAGUUCUUGUGCUGACUGAUGCAGGAUUCACAAAGACGGCUUCGGCCGACUUUGUAAACUCGAUCUCAAAUCAAGUAAGACUACCCGCUGAACUUAAGCAUAUCAAUAAGCGGAGGA